UAAAAAAAGAACUGACUGUUUUAUGUGUUG
rnacentral:piRNA from 1 species